UUCGGGUAGUUUAAUUAAGAAUUAUAAUUUGUGGUGUUAUAGGUAGGUUUACCUCUCGAAUC
rnacentral:tRNA from 1 species